rfam:Oceanobacillus picturae, S1, WGS project CCAX01000000 data, contig: 000001
UGACCCUUUAAAAAUAGUCCAGUGAGGCUUAAAAGGAUUCGGUUGUAACAAUGACAUUCUGAACUGUGUCCCUUUUUCCUCAUGGAGAAAGGGAUUUUUCUA